rnacentral:rRNA from 1 species
GACGAACGCUGGCGGCGUGCUUAACACAUGCAAGUCGAACGGAAAGGCCCUGCUUUUGUGGUGUUCUCGGGUGGCGAACGGGUGAGUAACACGUGAGUAACCUGCCCUUGACUUUGGGAUAACUUCAGGAAACUGGGGUUAAUACCGUAUAGGAUCUCCUGCUGCGGUGUGGGGGUGGGAAAUUUUGGGCUGGUGGGGAUGGACUCGCGGCUUAUCGGCUUGCUGGUUGGGUAGUGGCUUACCAAGGCUUUGACGGGUAGCCGGCCUGUGAGGGUGGCCGGCCACAUUGGGACUGAGGUACGGACCAGACUCCUACGGGAGGCAGCAGUGGGGAAUAUUGCACAAUGGGACGAAGUCUGAUGCAGAAACGCCGCGUGCGGGAUGCCGGCCUUCGGGUUGUAAACCGCUUCAGCCUGUGACGCAGCGUGAGUGACGGUAAUGGGUAAAGAAGCACCGGCUAACUACGUG